rnacentral:rRNA from 1 species
AUGGCGCAGCCUCUGCAACGCAGCGUGGGACGAGCCGCCCUCCUCCACGGCCCGCCUGCACGCGGCCUUCAUCUUCAUGGCCUUCUCCCUCGCCAUGGCACCCUCCUCCCCCGACCCGCCGCCCAUCACGCAUCUCACGGCCCGCUCAAGCUCCGCCGCCUCCACGAAGUUGUCCCGCUCCCUGUCCACCUCCAUCGCCACGGCCACGCCCACGACGGACGCGAGCUCGAACGCGUUCAGGUGCUGCUCCGCGUACAGCGGCCACGGCACCAGCGGCACGCCGUGCCACAUGCUCUCCAGCGUCGAGUUCCACCCGCAGUGCGUCACGAAGCAGCCCACGGCGGCGUGCGCCAGUAUCUCCUUCUGCGGGGCGCGCCUCGGCCACACCAGGCCCCGCCCCUCCGUCCGCUCCAGGAACCCCUCCGGGAGGAGCUCGUCCAGGUUCGCGUCCGUCGGGUGCCGCGAGCCGGCCGCCGGAGGGCCGCGCAGCGUCCACAGGAAGCGGUGCCCGCUGCGCUCCAGCCCCGCGGCCACCUCGUGCGCCUUGGCUCUAUCGAACCAUCCCAGGCUCCCGAAGCAAAGGAACACCACCGACGCCCGGGGCUGCGCGUCGAGCCACCGGACGCACGGCUCGUUCGACGCUUCGACGGCGUGGUCGAUCACCGGACCGAUCGGGUACAGCGGCGGCGCGCGUCGUCCGGGCACGCACCGGCCUGCGGCUAUCGCGGCGAGGAGUCCUGCCUCGAGCGCGUCCACCGUGUUAAUGACGAUGCCGUCGGCGUCCAUGAAGCGACGGCCGUGGUACACGAACCACGCGUAGUUAGGGCUCUUCUUAUCGCCCAGGAACCCAGGAACAGACCCCGCGGGAACCGGCGGCAUGCCGGGGACGUCCACGGUGCCGUCGUCGGACGCGUCGGAGUCGACGGCCAGCGCCGGUAG